rnacentral:rRNA from 1 species
UGCCAGCCGCCGCGGUAAUACGGAGGGUGCAAGCGUUAAUCGGAAUUACUGGGCGUAAAGCGCGCGUAGGCGGAUUAGUAAGUUAGGGGUGAAAUCCCGGGGCUCAACCCCGGAACUGCCUCUAAUACUGCUAGUCUUGAGUUCGAGAGAGGUGAGUGGAAUUCCGAGUGUAGAGGUGAAAUUCGUAGAUAUCAGGAGGAACACCGAUGGCGAAGGCAGCUUUCUGGACAGAUACUGACGCUGAGGCGCAAAGGCGUGGGUAGCGAACGGGAUUAGAUA